UGGGGAAUAUUGGACAAUGGAGGAAACUCUGAUCCAGCAAUUCUGUGUGUGUGAAGAAGGUUUUAGGACUGUAAAACACUUUUAGUAGGGAAGAAAAAAAUGACGGUACCUACAGAAGAAGCAACGGCUAAAUACGUGCCAGCAGCCGCGGUAAUACGUAUGUUGCGAGCGUUAUCCGGAAUUAUUGGGCUUAAAGGGCAUCUAGGCGGUAAGACAAGUUGAAGGUGAAAACCUGUGGCUCAACCAUAGGCUUGCCUACAAAACUGUUGAACUAGAGUACUGGAAAGGUGGGUGGAACUACACGAGUAGAGGUGAAAUUCGUAGAUAUGUGUAGGAAUGCCGAUGAUGAAGAUAACACACUGGACAGAAACUGACGCUGAAGUGCGAAAGCUAGGGGAGCAAACAGG
rnacentral:rRNA from 1 species